rnacentral:rRNA from 1 species
AACGUAGGUGGCAAGCGUUAUCCGGAUUUACUGGGCGUAAAGGGUGUGCAGGCGGGGUAGCAAGUGGGGUAUGAAAUCUCCAGGCUUAACCUGGAGGGGUUAUGCCAGACUGCUGCUCUAGAGGACGAGAGAGGGGGGUGGAAUUCCGGGUGUAGUGGUGAAAUGCGUAGAUAUCUGGAGGAACACCGGUGGCGAAGGCGGCAUCCUGGACCAACACUGACGCUGAUGAGCGAAAGCCAGGGGAGCAAACGGG